rnacentral:tRNA from 1 species
ACUAUUUUGGCAGAAAAAUGUAAUAAAUUUAGAAUUUAUAAAUGUAUAAUAUUAUACAAGUAGUA